GUAGGAGGCAAGCGUUAUUCGGAUUUAUUGGGCGUAAAGGGUCCGUAGGCGGUUCGAAAAGUCGGAUGUGAAAUCCUACAGCUUAACUGUAGAACUGCAUUCGAAACUUUCGAACUUGAGUAUGAGAGGGGUAAAGGGAAUUCCCGGUGUAAGGGUGAAAUCUGCAGAGAUCGGGAGGAACACCAGUCGCGAAGGCGCUUUACUGGCUCAUUACUGACGCUCAGGGACGAAAGCUA
rnacentral:rRNA from 1 species